rnacentral:sRNA from 1 species
GCCUGAGAGAGUCUGUGGUCUCAGGGAUAUUUAGAAAGAGGUGUGGCUCUCUGCCGUUUCCAAUCUCCUCCUCCCCACCCAUUCCUCUCCCUGCUGUUUUCAAGAGAGCAUGGAUGAGGUGUUGCUGGGGCAGGGGUGGGGAGGGAGGAGGGGGUCUCCUUUACUGGCUCCUUUUGGAGACUACAGAUGGAGGCAGGAGCUAGAAAGGAGAAGGGGACAUUGUGCUCAGCACCUUCCUUUAUAAUCUCCUAGCCAAGUUUGGGGCCAAUGCCAUCCUGGGUGUGUCUCUGGCUGUGUGUAAGGCAGGCGCAGCUGAGCGGGAACUGCCCCUGUAUCGCCACAUUGCUCAGCUGGCUGGGAACUCAGACCUCAUCCUGCCUGUGCCGGCCUUCAAUGUGAUCAAUGGUGGCUCUCAUGCUGGCAACAAGCUGGCCAUGCAGGAGUUCAUGAUCCUCCCAGUGGGAGCUGAGAGCUUUCGGGAUGCCAUGCGACUAGGUGCAGAGGUCUACCAUACACUCAAGGGAGUCAUCAAGGACAAAUACGGCAAGGAUGCCACCAAUGUAGGGGAUGAAGGUGGCUUUGCCCCCAAUAUCCUGG